rnacentral:tRNA from 1 species
CAAAAAGUAGCUUAAUUUAAAGCAUUUGACCUACAAUCAAAAUAUAUUAUACUUAAUCUUUUUGA